UGCAAGUCGAGCGGAAACGGCAGUAUUGAAGCUUCGGUGGAUUUACUGGACGUCGAGCGGCGGACGGGUGAGUAACGGCUGGGAACCUGCCCUGACGAGGGGGAUAACCGUUGGAAACGACGGCUAAUACCGCAUAAUGUCUACGGACCAAAGGUGGCCUCUACAUGUAAGCUAUCGCGUUGGGAUGGGCCCAGUUAGGAUUAGCUAGUUGGUAAGGUAAUGGCUUACCAAGGCGACGAUCCUUAGCUGGUUUGAGAGGAUGAUCAGCCACACUGGGACUGAGACACGGCCCAGACUCCUACGGGAGGCAGCAGUGGGGAAUAUUGCACAAUGGGGGAGACCCUGAUGCAGCCAUGCCGCGUGUGUGAAGAAGGCCUUCGGGUUGUAAAGCACUUUCAGCAGUGAGGAAGGUGGUGUACUUAAUACGUGCAUGGCUUGACGUUAGCUGCAGAAGAAGCACCGGCUAACUCCGUGCCAGCAGCCGCGGUAAUACGGAGGGUGCGAGCGUUAAUCGGAAUUACUGGGCGUAAAGCGCAUGCAGGCGGUUUGUUAAGUCAGAUGUGAAAGCCCGGGGCUCAACCUCGGAACCGCAUUUGAAACUGGCAGGCUAGAGUCUUGUAGAGGGGGGUAGAAUUUCAGGUGUAGCGGUGAAAUGCGUAGAGAUCUGAAGGAAUACCAGUGGCGAAGGCGGCCCCCUGGACAAAGACUGACGCUCAGAUGCGAAAGCGUGGGUAGCAAACAGGAUUAGAUACCCUGGUAGUCCACGCCGUAAACGCUGUCUACUUGGAGGUUGAGGUUUA
rnacentral:rRNA from 1 species